CUGGGUGGCUUCGGCCGUAUACCCCUAACCAUUGUGAACGAAACAGUUGCCUCGCUGGAGGGUGGUGAAAACCGCCCGCUGGCAGCACAAAACUCUUCUGAUGUUAUCUCUGAGUUACUUAUAAAUAAGUUA
rnacentral:misc_RNA from 1 species